AUGGUGGCGCAAUGGAGCAGAAGCCGCUCCCAGGUCGCCGGAGUCGCCCUCGCACACCUCCUUGAUCCGCUCCCAGGUGGCGGCGCCGUAGCCCCUCCCGUCGAGGUCACCAUGCCGGCGUCGCACGUGCCCGGCGAGGCGUGCGCGGAGCCCGAGCCGCCGGAGGCAUUCCCUCCAGCGACGCCGCCAAAUUUGUGCCCGCCGUCAGGAUCCCGCGCGCAUGGGCUGGCUUCGGUGCCCGCGGCCGAGCUCCGGCGACAGCGGCCGGGAUCCAGCGACGCCGCCCCAUCUGCUCGCUAG
rnacentral:rRNA from 1 species